rnacentral:sRNA from 1 species
UCUUUGCGUUAGGGAUUGAAGCGGCAUCCUUUUUAUGUUUGUUCGAGUGAUGCGUAGCAUUAUAUCGAGAACACAUAAAAAGAUAUAGCGAAAAGCCCGACCCUUU